UAGCGGGCCACGGCCAGAGGCGCUGGCACAUCCAACACCUGAGGAGGACCCAAGUCUGGUUAAGCUGGGAGGAGUACCCAAUGCCACCACCUCUAUCCCCAGCCUUCCCUGACUACUCCAGUGGCACCUCUUAGUUAACUGCAGUGGGGUUUAUGCCCAGAGGGCUUCUCGGCACCUGUUUCCCCUACUCUCAUCGAGGGCCAAUGGGGCUUAACAAGGGUCAAAAGAAGGGAAGAGCAGCUUCCAAGGAUCACCACUUUGGGGAGGUUUCUGGACUGGACUGUUUUGGAGACUUCCAGUGGCCCCUGUUGUUGGUGUGGAUCAAGAAAGGGUGGUGGGAACUCUCCCCUCCCUCAUUCCCUGAGGUAGAGUCAAGGGAAACCAACCACCCAUCCACCCAACUGGACCAGUUUCCUCAUUCUCCUUUUGGGCCAUGGGGAAUCUAUGGCUCUCUGGGAGCUGCUUCUAGCCCAAUGGCACUGAACAGGGGUCUAGGGAUGGGGCACAGCUUCUUCGGGGAGUUUUAGGGCCCUGUGCUGACAGCUCAUCACUAAUCACUUGCCAAUUCCCCAGGAGGAACGUGUCAGCAGGUGGGGUUUCUGCCAGAGUCCGAAGCAAGCGGGCAGCAGGAGAAGCAGUGGGGCUUGGGGAGAGUCACCCUCUGGUCUCAUCAACAUCCAGUGGGCAUUUCAGUGGCCCAGGAUCCUUCAAAUUGCAGAUAUAAAGCAUCAGGACCCCACACCUGGGAUGGAAGCUUCUAGGAAUUAAUGAAGCCCCAGUAGAGAAAACUGAGAAGGCCAUGCUGUGACACCUCGUCCCCACCCCACAGGAGUCAGAGGAACCCCUUCCCCAGUUGGAAUUUGGCUCCUGUGAUGCUCCAAAAGGUCUCUCACCUCUGACACCUUUGUUCUGAGUCAUCAAAUCCUUUUGUGGUCACCAAACAGAGUCCCUCAGAGUAGGGGGCAGGAUCUGAGCUUCUCUCACAGGCCAGAGCAGGGAGAAGGGCUUCUGGGGGGUUGCAGGGAGUCCAUAUUCUAGUCCCACCUAAAAGCAGUGCCUGCCUCCUUAAUUCUGCACCGGGUCACAGAUCCCUGCCUGCUUCUCCCGCCUUUCACACAAAUGCUCUUAGAUUAAAUCUGUGGGAAGGGGGUGGGAGGGAAACAGGCCCCUCUCUGAUACAGGCCCUAAGUUUCAAAUUCCCCUCUUACUGGGCAGAUGGAGUUCCUAGAAAAGUUUUGGGAUAGUUUUCCAAAGGAAAUGUGCAGAAUGAGGAUGGGGAGGCGAGGACUCCAGAAAGACCACAGUAACAAGCCCUCUCUGUCCAAAAACAAGUCUCCUUGUAUCAAUCACUAGAAAUCAGAUCCAACAACUAAGCUAGAAUUCCCUCCCUUUCCCAGACAGUGCUCCCAAACAUGACCAUCUUCCUUGCUCACCACGCCCGAGCAGCAGAUAGGAAAAACAGAGGCCCAGAGAGGUCAGGCUAACAUCCUAGGGGUCACACAGCAUCGGAACCGCGAUUAGAACUCAGGAGUCUCUGGCGCCUCUUGGGAGAAUUGCAGCUGGAGCUCCCCCCUUGGCCCUGGAGACUCCAGUGGGCAGGGAGCUUGCGGUCCUGACCAGCUGGCGGUGGUGGCCCUGCGCCCUGGUGCCAGUGAGGCGUCUGGGUCUAGCAGUCACCUCUGGGCACUCCCUGGGUGGGAGGACAAGCUGGGAGGGGAUCCUAGGGGCAGGGGCAGGGGCAGGGAGGUGGCAGCUGCCGGUAGGGUUGGGGGAGAGAUAUUUUUAGAGGUGACUAGGAAGCCAGCACUCUGGCGCACCCCCGGCUGGCGGGCGCUGGGCUCCAAUGCGGGCGGGGGGUGCGCGGCUCGGGGAGGGGUAUUGUGGGUGGCAGGGAGCAAGGGGACACCAAUUCCUUGGCUUUGUCAGAGUCGGGGACGGAGGGAUACCCCAGCACUAUGUUCCUGGGUAGGAGAGAGAAGGGGACUCACUCCUGAGCUCCAGAACUCCCCCAGUGCCACGCGCGUGAAGGAGCGCCUUCAAACUCCACAGCCCCCACCCCGCGCCGGGACCCCAGCCCUCCCCUAUCUCCCGGAGCCCAGGACUCACGUGGGGGCGGCGGCAGCAGAGGUCUGUCCCGGCUGAGUUUGGAGUGUAAGAAGUGGGGAAG
rnacentral:lncRNA from 10 species